rnacentral:rRNA from 1 species
ACUCCUGCGGGAGGCAGCAGUGGGGAAUUUUGGACAAUGGGCGAAAGCCUGAUCCAGCAAUGCCGCGUGAGUGAAGAAGGCCUUCGGGUUGUAAAGCUCUUUUGUCAGGGAAGAAACGGUGAAAGCUAAUAUCUUUUGCUAAUGACGGUACCUGAAGAAUAAGCACCGGCUAACUACGUGCCAGAAGCCGCGGUAAUACGUAGGGUGCAAGCGUUAAUCGGAAUUACUGGGCGUAAAGCGUGCGCAGGCGGUUUUGUAAGUCUGAUGUGAAAUCCCCGGGCUCAACCUGGGAAUUGCAUUGGAGACUGCAAGGCUAGAAUCUGGCAGAGGGGGGUAGAAUUCCACGUGUAGCAGUGAAAUGCGUAGAUAUGUGGAGGAACACCGAUGGCGAAGGCAGCCCCCUGGGUCACGAUUGACGCUCAUGCACGAAAGCGUGGGGAGCGAACAGGAUUAGAAACCCGAGUAGUCCCAUGA